GACGAACCGUCCGAACGUUAUUCGGAAUCACUGGGCUUAAAGGGUGCGUAGGCGGCGCGGAAAGUUGGGUGUGAAAUCCCUCGGCUUAACCGAGGAACUGCGCCCAAAACUACCGUGCUUGAGGGAGAUAGAGGUGAGCGGAACUUAGGGUGGAGCGGUGAAAUGCGUUGAUAUCCUAAGGAACACCGGUGGCGAAAGCGGCUCACUGGAUCUCUUCUGACGCUGAUGCACGAAAGCUAGGGUAGCGAAC
rnacentral:rRNA from 1 species